AUUGAACGCUGGCGGCAGGCCUAACACAUGCAAGUCGAGCGGAUGAAGGGAGCUUGCUCCUGGAUUCAGCGGCGGACGGGUGAGUAAUGCCUAGGAAUCUGCCUGGUAGUGGGGGAUAACGUCCGGAAACGGGCGCUAAUACCGCAUACGUCCUGAGGGAGAAAGUGGGGGAUCUUCGGGCCUCACGCUAUCAGAUGAGCCUAGGUCGGAUUAGCUAGUUGGUGGGGUAAAGGCCUACCAAGGCGACGAUCCGUAACUGGUCUGAGAGGAUGAUCAGUCACACUGGAACUGAGACACGGUCCAGACUCCUACGGGAGGCAGCAGUGGGGAAUAUUGGACAAUGGGCGAAAGCUUGAUCCAGCCAUGCCGCGUGUGUGAAGAAGGUCUUCGGAUUGUAAAGCACUUUAAGUUGGGAGGAAGGGCAGUAAGUUAAUACCUUGCUGUUUUGACGUUACCAACAGAAUAAGCACCGGCUAACUUCGUG
rnacentral:rRNA from 1 species